rnacentral:rRNA from 2 species
AGAGUUUGAUCCUGGCUCAGAUUGAACGCUGGCGGCAGGCCUAACACAUGCAAGUCGAGCGGAUGAGUGGAGCUUGCUCCAUGAUUCAGCGGCGGACGGGUGAGUAAUGCCUAGGAAUCUGCCUGGUAGUGGGGGACAACGUUUCGAAAGGAACGCUAAUACCGCAUACGUCCUACGGGAGAAAGCAGGGGACCUUCGGGCCUUGCGCUAUCAGAUGAGCCUAGGUCGGAUUAGCUAGUUGGUGAGGUAAAGGCUCACCAAGGCGACGAUCCGUAACUGGUCUGAGAGGAUGAUCAGUCACACUGGAACUGAGACACGGUCCAGACUCCUACGGGAGGCAGCAGUGGGGAAUAUUGGACAAUGGGCGAAAGCCUGAUCCAGCCAUGCCGCGUGUGUGAAGAAGGUCUUCGGAUUGUAAAGCACUUUAAGUUGGGAGGAAGGGCAGUAAGUUAAUACCUUGCUGUUUUGACGUUACCGGCAGAAUAAGCACCGGCUAACUUCGUGCCAGCAGCCGCGGUAAUACGAAGGGUGCAAGCGUUAAUCGGAAUUACUGGGCGUAAAGCGCGCGUAGGUGGUUCGUUAAGUUGGAUGUGAAAGCCCCGGGCUCAACCUGGGAACUGCAUCCAAAACUGGCGAGCUAGAGUAUGGCAGAGGGUGGUGGAAUUUCCUGUGUAGCGGUGAAAUGCGUAGGUAUAGGAAGGAACACCAGUGGCGAAGGCGACCACCUGGGCUAAUACUGACACUGAGGUGCGAAAGCG